ACGCACGCUGGCGGCGUGCUUCACCCCUGCAAGUCGAACGGAAAGGCCCUGCUUGCAGGGUACUCGAGUGGCGAACGGGUGAGUAACACGUGGGUGAUCUGCCCUGCACUUCGGGAUAAGCCUGGGAAACUGGGUCUAAUACCGGAUAGGAGCCAUUUUUAGUGUGAUGGUUGGAAAGUUUUUUCGGUGUAGGAUGAGCUCGCGGCCUAUCAGCUUGUUGGUGGGGUAAUGGCCUACCAAGGCGGCGACGGGUAGCCGGCCUGAGAGGGUGGACGGCCACAUUGGGACUGAGAUACGGCCCAGACUCCUACGGGAGGCAGCAGUGGGGAAUAUUGCACAAUGGGCGCAAGCCUGAUGCAGCGACGCCGCGGGGGGGAUGACGGCCUUCGGGUUGUAAACUCCUUUCGCUAGGGACGAAGCUUUUUGUGACGGUACCUAGAUAAGAAGCACCGGCUAACUACGUG
rnacentral:rRNA from 1 species